AUGGGAACGCGAAGAACCUUACCUAGACUUGACAUCUUCUGCAUUAAUCGUAAUGGAUGAAAUCCCUUCGGGGACAGAAUGACAGGUGGUGCAUGGUUGUCGUCAGCUCGUGUCGUGAGAUGUUGGGUUAAGUCCCGCAACGAGCGCAACCCCUAUUAUUAGUUGCUACCAUUAAGUUGAGCACUCUAGUGAGACUGCCCGGGGUUAACCGGGAGGAAGGCGGGGAGUGACGUCAAAUCAUCAUGCCCCUUACUGUCUAGGGCAACACACGUGCUACAAUGGUGAGUACAGAUAGAUGCGAUACCGCAAGGUGGAGCCAAACUCUAAAACUCAUCCCAGUUCGGAUUGUAGGCUGCAACUCGCCUACAUGAAGUUGGAGUUGCUAGUAAUCGCGAAUCAGAAUGUCGCGGUGAAUACGUUCCCGGGUCUUGUACACACCG
rnacentral:rRNA from 1 species